CACUGGAAUUGGACAGACACAGGAAAGCUUCCUUUACUAAACCCUUAUUACUGCGAUAUUAUUAUACACGCAGCCAGCACCUCCUUUAAUCAAUUUAACAUAAUAUGACCUAUGAGUUAAUCUUCCCUAAUGAGAAGGCCACCUUCACUCCAUUAAGAGACAGAUAUAUCAUCAACCUCAUCUUCCAGAUGAAGAAGGCAAUUAUGAAGAAAGCCUGGAAACAGGAGAUACUAACGGGAUGCAAAAGAUGUGACAGGCAGUGCAUGUCUGAAGGGAGAACCCAGCGUGCCAGAGGAAGGGGUGUACUCUGUUUCUCUUCUGGACAAUGGGGUAACAUGCUUGAAUGGAUCAGUUAUAGGCCUUCUUUGUUUCUGCAAAACCCUCUGACUAUCUUUGGAAGGAGACAUCUUAAUUUCUGUAAAUGGGCAUUUAAGUCACUCUGAAACAUAUCACAAGACUGAUUUGGCAUCAAAUAAAACCAUCUGACAAUGA